CUUUUCUAAGUGUCGGGACGGAGCGAGACAAUGUUCUGUCUCGUUCCACGGGAAAAUUCGGACAACCCCAUUCCAAAAGAUUUAAAAGCUUGCUUCCAAGGCUCAAGAAAGACCACCGUUGGGAUAGAAGAUGGAAGAACAUGCAGUCCCUUUCGCCUACAACCACAGCCUUGACUCCCCGUCUUGUGCACUCACCCAACUCUCUCAUCUCCACCUGGGCUUCACUCCCUGUUUCUGUUUUAGUUCCCUCCCUCUCUAUAUAGAGGGCAUUCCCUCUCACCCCUCCUCGAUUUUUUGCCAUAGCCGCUGCUCUAUCCUUCCCCGAAUCAUUUUAGCCAUGGGUCAGAAUCUAGAGAUCUGGCGAUUCUCUGCUGGUCUAGAUGAUGGGGAUUGGUGAAUGGAUAGUAUGAAGCUCCAGAUGAUCAUGAUAAAUGGAGGUGACAUUUUUGGUGAAAUGGAGGUGAAAUGGAGGUGACAUUUUUGGUGCAUUUGCUUUCAUCUGGUGAUCAUGAUUGCGAAUUGCUUAAAUCCUAGCUCCAGAUGUUCUUGUAUGGUGAAGUCAUUGCUCUGAGUGUUUAUGUACAAAAUAUGAAGCUCCACGCGUUAUUUGAGUAAUGUACAAAAUUCACAAUUACUAUCUUAUGAAGACCUUUAAUCCAAAUAUACAGAUGGAUAAAUUAGAAUGUUAACAUAUUUGACCUGUGGUAGAUGACUAAGUUAUCCAUGUAUGAAAUUGUCUAAUUGUGCAUGUAUAUUGUUCUUAUGUAUGAUAUUUUAUUCAAACCUGCAUUUCUAUUUUUCAAUGUUGUUGCUAAUAAGUUUUAUCUGAAUGUGAUUUGCAAUGAAGAUGCGCACCAACUCAAAAAUGGCAGGGUCAAGGAGGAGCACUGUGAAGUCUGAGAAAGAAAAGAACACGCUGAGCUCGAGGAGAAGAAAAGCACUUUCAAUUAGCCCCAAGAAUAUGGCCAAUAGAAGAUACUACUUCAAGCACUUUAUGGACCUCUCAGGCCCUAUUUGGGAGAGCUGUUGGCAAUAGAGCUGUUGGAAGUAGAGCUGUUCGAAGUAGAGCUGUU